AGAGUUUGAUCCUGGCUCAGGAUGAACGCUGGCGGCGUGCUUAACACAUGCAAGUCGAACGGUGAAGCCCAGCUUGCUGGGUGGAUCAGUGGCGAACGGGUGAGUAACACGUGAGCAAUCUGCCCCUGACUCUGGGAUAAGCGCUGGAAACGGCGUCUAAUACUGGAUACGAGCUUCCACCGCAUGGUGAGUUGUUGGAAAGAUUUUUCGGUCAGGGAUGAGCUCGCGGCCUAUCAGCUUGUUGGUGAGGUAAUGGCUCACCAAGGCGUCGACGGGUAGCCGGCCUGAGAGGGUGACCGGCCACACUGGGACUGAGACACGGCCCAGACUCCUACGGGAGACAGCAGUGGGGAAUAUUGCACAAUGGGCGCAAGCCUGAUGCAGCAACGCCGCGUGAGGGACGACGGCCUUCGGGUUGUAAACCUCUUUUAGCAGGGAAGAAGCGAAAGUGACGGUACCUGCAGAAAAAGCGCCGGCUAACUACGUGCCAGCAGCCGCGGUAAUACGUAGGGCGCAAGCGUUAUCCGGAAUUAUUGGGCGUAAAGAGCUCGUAGGCGGUUUGUCGCGUCUGCUGUGAAAUCCCGAGGCUCAACCUCGGGUCUGCAGUGGGUACGGGCAGACUAGAGUACGGUAGGGGAGAUUGGAAUUCCUGGUGUAGCGGUGGAAUGCGCAGAUAUCAGGAGGAACACCGAUGGCGAAGGCAGAUCUCUGGGCCGUAACUGACGCUGAGGAGCGAAAGGGUGGGGAGCAAACAGGCUUAGAUACCCUGGUAGUCCACCCCGUAAACGUUGGGAACUAGUUGUGGGGUCCAUUCCACGGAUUCCGUGACGCAGCUAACGCAUUAAGUUCCCCGCCUGGGGAGUACGGCCGCAAGGCUAAAACUCAAAGGAAUUGACGGGGACCCGCACAAGCGGCGGAGCAUGCGGAUUAAUUCGAUGCAACGCGAAGAACCUUACCAAGGCUUGACAUAUACGAGAACGGGCCAGAAAUGGUCAACUCUUUGGACACCCGUAAACAGGUGGUGCAUGGUUGUCGUCAGCUCGUGUCGUGAGAUGUUGGGUUAAGUCCCGCAACGAGCGCAACCCUCGUUCUAUGUUGCCAGCACGUAAUGGUGGGAACUCAUGGGAUACUGCCGGGGUCAACUCGGAGGAAGGUGGGGAUGACGUCAAAUCAUCAUGCCCCUUAUGUCUUGGGCUUCACGCAUGCUACAAUGGCCGGUACAAAGGGCUGCAAUACCGUAAGGUGGAGCGAAUCCCAAAAAGCCGGUCCCAGUUCGGAUUGAGGUCUGCAACUCGACCUCAUGAAGUCGGAGUCGCUAGUAAUCGCAGAUCAGCAACGCUGCGGUGAAUACGUUCCCGGGUCUUGUACACACCGCCCGUCAAGUCAUGAAAGUCGGUAACACCUGAAGCCGGUGGCCCAACCCUUGUGGAGGGAGCCGUCGAAGGUGGGAUCGGUAAUUAGGACUAAGUCGUAACAAGGUAACC
rnacentral:rRNA from 1 species